rnacentral:rRNA from 1 species
GAUGAACGCUGGCGGCGUGCUUAACACAUGCAAGUCGAACGGAAAGGCUCCUGCUUGUUGGGGUCCUCGAGUGGCGAACGGGUGAGUAACACGUGGGUGAUCUGCCCUGCACUUCGGGAUAAGCCUGGGAAACUGGGUUUAAUACCGGAUAGGACGAUGGUUUGGAUGCCAUUGUGGAAAGUUUUUUCGGUGUGGGUUGAGCUCGCGGCCUAUCAGCUUGUUGGUGGGGUAUUGGCUUACCAAGGCGUCGCCGGGUAGCCGGCCUGAGAGGGUGUACGGCCACAUUGAGACUGAGAUACGGCCCAGACUCCUACGGGGGGCAACAGUGGGGAAUAUUGCACAAUGGGCGAGAGCCUGAUGCAGCGACGCCGCGUGGGAGAUGACGGCCUUCGUGUUGAAAACUCCUUUCGCUAGGGACGAAGCGCAAGUGACGGUACCUGGAGAAGAAGCACCGGCUAACUACGUG